AGGCCCGAGGGUUGUAAAGCACUUUCAAUUGUGAAGAAAAGCUUGGGGUUAAUAACCCCGAGUCUUGACGUUAACUUUAGAAGAAGCACCGGCUAACUCCGUGCCAGCAGCCGCGGUAAUACGGAGGGGGCAAGCGUUAUUCGGAAUUAUUGGGCGUAAAGGGCGCGUAGGCGGCUUGACAAGUCAGGGGUGAAAUCCCUCGGCUCAACCGAGGAACUGCCUCUGAAACUGUCUGGCUUGAGGCCGAGAGAGGGUAGUGGAAUUCCCAGUGUAGCGGUGAAAUGCGUAGAUAUUGGGAGGAACACCCGUGGCGAAGGCGGCCGGCUGGACCAGUCCUGACGCUGAGGCGCGAUAGCGUGGGGAGCAAACAGGAUUAGAUACCCUGGUAGUCCACGCCGUAAACGAUGAGAACUAGAUGUCGGGAGGAUUUGCCUUUCGGUGUCGCAGCUAACGCAUUAAGUUCUCCGCCUGGGGAGUACGCCGGCAACGGUAAAACUCAAAGGAAUUGACGGGGACCCGCACAAGCGGUGGAGCAUGUGGUUUAAUUCGAUGCAACGCGAAGAACCUUACCUGCCCUUGACAUUGACAGAACCCUGUAGAGAUACGGGGGUGCUUCGGCCUGGAAAACAGGUGCUGCAUGGCUGUCGCCAGCUCGUGUCGUGAGAUGUUGGGUUAAGUCCCGCAACGAGCGCAACCCUUGUCCUUAGUUGCCAGCACUUC
rnacentral:rRNA from 1 species